AUCAAAUCUUCCCCAAAAUUGUUCCCUGUUCCCCACUCGCACAAAAUUUCGUUUCCCUCUUAAAUUUCACCUCAUCUCAAAGUAUUUCACCUCCAAAUCCCAUCUCCCAAAACUGUCUCCGCCCCCAUCGCCAAUAUCCUAACCGUGACCUCCUUCAGUUUCUGGUUCGGGUCCUCGUCUCUAUAUUCGUCACCCUGUUUUUGCCCCCCUUUAGUUCUCCAAAAUCCCUAUUUACCCAUAGAAGCUAAACAUUGGCUAAGCAACUACAGAUGACGACAAAGUUAGGAGCUUGCUAAGAGAGUUGCAAUUUUCAUCACCUGUUUCUCAUGUAGAGGGUUCGUAAUCGGGUUGCUUAGAGCUAUUGCCGGCGAUUAAACCCGCAGCGAACCAUCACUUCUUGAUCAUCCUAAUCACCCUACUGGAAGCUAUUGCAGCUGCCAUGAACGACAACAGGGAGUUGAUACAUAAACUUCAUUUUUGUAACAACUAUUACAAGUCUUUGCAUUUGAUGUGCUUUGCUUACUCGUCAAGUCAGAAAUAUCUUUAAUUAGUGACACUAAGAGUAGAAGAAAUGGAUGUAGAGGUAUGGAUGUCCCACGAGAUGCUUCCUGAAGAUCUGAAGGAAGGUGUGACACUCUAUGAACAACACAACUGGUAAGAAUACAAGGACUCAAUGAAGAAUCUAUCGUAAGGACUUAAGAACAUAAAGCUCUAUGAACAAUACAACUGGCAAGAAAACAUGGAGUCAAUGAAGAAUCUAUUGUUUGAAAACUGCCUAAGGACUUAAGAAAGGACAUAAAGCUCUAUCAACAAUACAACUGGCAACCAAAAUGCCAAAUCUGUUCAUGUCAAAUAACAUCAGGCAUGUAUAAUAUCUCGUUAUGCUCCAGAUCUAUAACUGGUUUGAAGCAAGCAAAAACCCCACAAGUUAGUAGCUAGACAAGGCUGUAUGGAAGGUUUAAUAUUCAAACCCAACUUUCUUGUAUUGCCUUUUCCAUUGUAACUGCCAACUCUUUUUUGUUUGAGUUUGGACAUAUGUAAAAUUAUAAUAUUAAGUUAUCUGUUAUAUUUAUGUUUUUGUUGUGUUGGU
rnacentral:lncRNA from 1 species